AUUGAACGCUGGCGGAAUGCUUUACACAUGCAAGUCGAGCGGCAGCGCGGGGGCAACCCUGGCGGCGAGCGGCGAACGGGUGAGUAACAUAUCGGAACGUACCCCGUCGUGGGGGAUAACACAGCGAAAGCUGUGCUAAUACCGCAUACGACCUGAGGGUGAAAGCGGGGGAUCGCAAGACCUCGCGCGAUGGGAGCGGCCGAUAUCGGAUUAGCUUGUUGGUGAGGUAAAGGCUCACCAAGGCGACGAUCCGUAGCUGGUCUGAGAGGACGACCAGCCACACUGGAACUGUGACACGGUCCAGACUCCUACGGGAGGCAGCAGUGGGGAAUUUUGGACAAUGGGGGCAACCCUGAUCCAGCCAUUCCGCGUGAGUGAAGAAGGCCU
rnacentral:rRNA from 1 species